GUCUUUUAGAGUAUAAUUUAAAGUCUAACCUGCCCACUGAAUUUAUUUGAAGGGCCGCGGUAUUUUGACUGGGCAAAGGUAGCAUAAUCAUUAGUCUUUUAAUUGAAGGCUUGUAUGAAUGGUUGGAUGAAACAUUAACUGUCUCAAUUUAAAUUAAAUAGAAUUUAAUUUUUAAGUUAAAAAGCUUAAAUAAAAUUAGAGGACGAGAAGACCCUAUAGAUCUUUAUAUUUAAUUUUUUUUUUAUUAAUAUAGAAAAUUAAUUAUUAUUAAUUAAUUAAUUAUUUUAUUGGGGUGAUAAAUAAAUUUAAUGAACUUUAUUUUAUAUAAACAUUUAUUUAUGAAAAAUUGAUCCAUUAUUAUUGAUUAUAAGAUUAAGUUACCUUAGGGAUAACAGCGUAAUUUUUUUAGAGAGUUCAUAUCGAUAGAAAAGUUUGCGACCUCGAUGUUGAAUUAAAGGUUAAUUUUAGGUGUAGAAGUUUAAAGUUUUGGUCUGUUCGACCAUUAAAUC
rnacentral:rRNA from 1 species